rnacentral:rRNA from 1 species
GACGAACGCUGGCGGCGUGCUUAACACAUGCAAGUCGAACGGAAAGGCCCUGCUUGCCGGGUGCUCGAGUGGCGAACGGGUGAGUAACACGUGGGUGAUCUGCCCCUUACUUUGGGAUAAGCCUGGUAAACUGGGUCUAAUACUGGAUAGGACCAUGCUGUAGGUGGUGUGGUGGAAAGAUUAGUUUCGGUAAGGGAUGAGCUCGCGGCCUAUCAGCUUGUUGGUGGGGUAAUGGCCUACCAAGGCGUCGACGGGUAGCCGGCCUGAGAGGGUGGACGGCCACAUUGGGACUGAGAGACGGCCCAGACUCCUACGGGAGGCAGCAGUGGGGAAUAUUGCACAAUGGGCGCAAGCCUGAGGCAGCGACGCCGCGUGGGGAUGACGGCCUUCGGGUUGUAAACUCCUUGCAGCCAUGACGAAGCCCUUGUGGUGACGGUAGUGGUAGAAGAAGCACCGGCUAACUACGUG